rnacentral:rRNA from 1 species
GACGAACGCUGGCGGCGUGCUUAACACAUGCAAGUCGAACGGUAAGGCCCUUCGGGGUACACGAGUGGCGAACGGGUGAGUAACACGUGGGUGAUCUGCCCUGCACUUCGGGAUAAGCCUGGGAAACUGGGUCUAAUACCGGAUAGGACCACUGCCUGCAUGGGUGGUGGUGGAAAGCUUUUGCGGUGUGGGAUGGGCCCGCGGCCUAUCAGCUUGUUGGUGGGGUGAUGGCCUACCAAGGCGACGACGGGUAGCCAGCCUGAGAGGGUGACCGGCCACACUGGGACUGAGAUACGGCCCAGACUCCUACGGGAGGCAGCAGUGGGGAAUAUUGCACAAUGGGCGCAAGCCUGAUGCAGCGACGCCGCGUGAGGGAUGACGGCCUUCGGGUUGUAGACCUCUUUCAGCACUGACGAAGCGCAAGUGACGGUAGGUGCAGAAGAAGGACCGGCCAACUACGUGCCAGCCGCCGCAGUAA